AGCGAACGCUGGCGGCAGGCCUAACACAUGCAAGUCGAGCGGCCGUAGCAAUACGGCAGCGGCAGACGGGAGAGUAACACGUGGGAACGCGCCCUUCGGUUCGGGAUAACUCAGGGAAACUUGGGCUAAUACCGGAUACGCCCUUAUGGGGAAAGAUUUAUUGCCGAAGGAACGGCCCGCGUCCGAUUAGCUUGUUGGUGAGGUAACGGCUCACCAAGGCGACUGUCGGUAGCUGGUCUGAGAGGAUGACCAGCCUCACUGGGACUGAGACACGGCCCAGACUCCUACGGGAGGCAGCAGUGGGGAAUAUUGGACAAUGGGCGCAAGCCUGAUCCAGCCAUGCCGCGUGGGUGAUGAAGGCCCUAGGGUUGUAAAGCCCUUUCAGCGGGGAAGAUAAUGACGGUACCCGCAGAAGAAGCCCCGGCUAACUUCGUGCCAGCAGCCGCGGUAAAAC
rnacentral:rRNA from 1 species